UGAGCAAUCUGCCCUUCUCAUCGGAAUAAGCGUUGGAAACGACGUCUAAUGCCGAAUACGACCUCCUUUCGCAUGAUCGGAGGUGGAAAGCUCCGGCGGAGAAGGAUGAGCUCGCGGCCUAUCAGCUAGUUGGUGUGGGUAAUGGCCCACAAGGCGACGACGGGUAGCCGGCCUGGAGGAGGGUCGACCCGACCACACGUGGGACUGAGACACCGGCCCAGACCUCCGUACGGGAGCA
rnacentral:rRNA from 1 species